rnacentral:rRNA from 1 species
UACGUAGGGGGGCGAGCGUUGUCCGGAGUUACUGGGCGUAAAGGGCGUGCAGGCGGUGCGGUAAGUUUAGCGUGACAGUCUCCGGCUUAACUGGAGAAGGCCGCUGAAAACUGCUGGACUUGAGGGCCAGAGAGGGACAUAGAAUUCCGGGUGGAGUGGUGAAAUGCGUAGAUAUCCGGAGGAAUACCAAAGGCGAAGGCAGUGUCCUGGCUGGCAACUGACGCUGAGGCGCGAAAAGCUAGGGGGAGCGAACAGG